rnacentral:rRNA from 1 species
UCGCACGGGGCAGCAAUGCCCAGUGGCGGACGGGUGCGUAACACGUGAGGAACCUGUCCAUCGGCGGGGGAUAGCCGGCCCAACGGCCGGGUAAUACCGCGUACGUCGGCGGGGGCGCAUGCCUCUGCCGGGAAAGCAGCAAUGCACCGAUGGAGGGCCUCGCGGCCUAUCAGCUUGUUGGCGGGGUAACGGCCCACCAAGGACUACGACGGGUAGCUGGUCUGAGAGGAUGAUCAGCCACAUUGGGACUGAGACACGGCCCAGACUCCUACGGGAGGCAGCAGUGGGGAAUAUUGCGCAAUGGGCGAAAGCCUGACGCAGCGACGCCGCGUGCGGGAUGAAGGCCUUCGGGUUGUAAACCGCUGUCGGGGGGGACGAAGAUCUGACGGUACCCCCAAAGGAAGCACCGGCUAACUCUGUGCCAGCAGCCGCGGUAAUACAGAGGGUGCGAGCGUUGUCCGGAAUUACUUGGGCGUAAAGGGCGCGUAGGCGGUUCGGUAAGUAGGGGGUGAAAUUCCACGGCUCAACCGUGGACCUGCCUUCUAGACUGCCGGACUUGAGCACGGUAGAGGCAGAUGGAAUUCCCGGUUGUAGCGGUGGAAUGCGUAAAGAUCG